GUGUAGCCAAUUAAAGUGGCAGUGCUCUCUGCUCUAUGGGGCCCAGUUUGCAAUGGCUAUAAACAGCAAACAGCCUCCUUGUUAGUGUCAAAGCCUGUGACUUGUAUGGGCUUUUGUAAGGGACCCUGGAGAGAGUU